UACGUAGGGUGCAAGCGUUGUCCGGAAUUAUUGGGCGUAAAGAGCUUGUAGGCGGUUUGUCGCGUCUGCUGUGAAAUUUCGGGGCUCAACCCCGAACUUGCAGUGGGUACGGGCAGACUAGAGUGUGGUAGGGGAGACUGGAAUUCCUGGUGUAGCGGUGAAAUGCGCAGAUAUCAGGAGGAACACCGAUGGCGAAGGCAGGUCUCUGGGCCAUAACUGACGCUGAGGCGCGAAAGCCAGGGGAGCGAACGGG
rnacentral:rRNA from 1 species